rnacentral:rRNA from 1 species
UGGGGAAUAUUGCACAAUGGGGGAAACCCUGAUGCAGCGACGCCGCGUGAACUAAGAAGGUAUUCGUAUCGUAAAGUUCUGUCCUAUGGGAAGAUAAUGACAGUACCAUAGAAGAAAGCUCCGGCUAAAUACGUGCCAGCAGCCGCGGUAAUACGUAUGGAGCGAGCGUUGUCCGGAAUUAUUGGGCGUAAAGGGUACGCAGGCGGUUUAAUAAGUCGAAUGUUAAAGAUCGGGGCUCAACCCCGCAAAGCAUUGGAAACUGAUAAACUUGAGUAGUGGAGAGGAAAGUGGAAUUCCUAGUGUAGUGGUGAAAUACGUAGAUAUUAGGAGGAAUACCAGUAGCGAAGGCGACUUUCUGGACACAAACUGACGCUGAGGUACGAAAGCGUGGGGAGCAAACAGG